UAUGGUGAUAACAGAGUCGCAUGUCCAGA
rnacentral:piRNA from 1 species